rnacentral:rRNA from 1 species
UACAGAGGGGGCAAGCGUUGUUCGGAAUUACUGGGCGUAAAGGGCGCGUAGGCGGCCUCUUAAGUCGAACGUGAAAUCCCCGGGCUCAACCCGGGAACUGCGUCCGAUACUGGGAGGCUUGAAUCCGGGAGAGGGAUGUGGAAUUCCAGGUGUAGCGGUGAAAUGCGUAGAUAUCUGGAGGAACACCGGUGGCGAAGGCGGCAUCCUGGACCGGUAUUGACGCUGAGGCGCGAAAGCUAGGGGAGCAAACGGG